AUGAAUUGCAGACCAUGUCUUGCAUCAUGGACAGCUGAGGUGGUGGACAUGUUGUUUAGUGGUUACUGGCCAGGCACUGUCAAGUUUCAAACCAUAUACCAGGUAGACCUCUUUGCAUCGCUUGAGAUCACUGCACCUGGGCUUUCAAGACAAGCAUUUGUGAAAAUGUUACAACAGCGCUCACAACAAUUUGGAAGGAGUGGUAACAUUUGUGGCAACGUCUUCCAAAAAGCUUUCCUUGAAUGGACAUAUUGUCGUCAUAAAAGAGAAAAACUCUGCGGCAUUGAUCACUUCUCUUGCCCAGCUUGCACCCCAGAUACAGUUGCUGUGUCUGCAGAUGGAAACAGAAAACUAUACAGAUUCAGCAAAACAAAGGGGUAUAUUAUAACACUUACAUUUAAUCAUUUAGCAGAUGCUUUUAUCCGAAGAACAAUAGAAGCAAUCAGACCAACAAGAGGGCAACAGUAUACACGUGAUGUAACAAGUCUCAGUACACAUAGCAAGGUAUUAUUAUAUUUUUUUUUAAUCAGAAAAAUAAAUCAAUAUAAUAGUAUAGAAAAGAAAAGGUAAGUGCUAGUAUUAAUUGGUCAGGUGCUGAUGAAAAAGAUGUGUCUAGACAUCUUUUUGAAAUCAAUAUGUUAUUGAUAACAUUACUUUGUCCAUAUUUCUUUUGAAUAUUUUUUGUCAUUAACAUAUUUUCUUCCUGUAGGGCAGAGGAACAACCAUUUUUUGAUGGAGUUUUUCUGGCUAAUGACAAAGAUGUAGCAACAUUUGUUGAUUGUGUUCGUGAGAAGACCAUUCCAGUAAGAUAUUUGUCAAAAGAUUUGAGAUUGUACACAGUGAAUCAGGAUUUAGUUUGUGUAUAUAUUUGAUACUGUUACAGGUACAUGGAAAAGGCAUCUGUGGAACAUGAGCAUGGGCUGCAGCCAGGGAGACCUCUAAAAAGACAAACACUAAAUGUGAUGAAGAGGGCCUAGAGGUGGCAGUUUGCAGGCACAGCAUAUUAGGCUGAACAUGCCUAAUAAUUCAGCACUCCUGCAUAUAAGGAGUUUUUCACUUCCAGCCUUCAAAGACAAUUAUAUAUCACUCAUAAAUGAUUAAAUACCAAAUGUGUAGUAUUAUUUUUUUUAUGUCCCUAAAACUGACAGAAAAUGAUAAGGCCUAAGAGAAUUCUUAAGCUGUAAUGAUGAAAAAAAAAAAACAACAACACACAAUUAGUGAUUUUUUUUUCUGGUGAUUAAAGAGAUGUUAACUUUCUCUCUCUCUCUCUCUCUCUCUCUCUCCCUCUGUCCCNNNNNNNNNNNNNNNNNNNNNNNNNNNNNNNNNNNNNNNNNNNNNNNNNNNNNNNNNNNNNNNNNNNNNNNNNNNNNNNNNNNNNNNNNNNNNNNNNNNNNNNNNNNNNNNNNNNNNNNUUUUUUUUUUCCUGGUGAUUAAAGAGAUGUUAACUCUCUCUCUGUCUCUCUCUGUCCCUCUCUCUCUCUGUCAGCCAACUCCCCCCUCCCCCUCCCUUCCCUUACACAGAGAGAGUGGCCUCAGAGUGUGAUCAGAUGUCUGACAGUUUUUAUAAUUUUCUGUUAUCCAUACAUUGUUGUAUAAUCGUGAAACUAUGCAUAUUUCCUCAGAAUGAUAUGUUCUCUGGAUGAAAAAUGGUUUUAAAGUGUUUGCAAGCUGCAAUUUAAAAAUACAAGACAAUUAAUGUUUCACUUUUUACUGUUUUUUCAAAAAAUCACCAUGGCAAAACCGUUCAAGCUAUCCAAAAUCCAUUCGCAAUUUAAGUUCAUCAAUGUUUUGUCAUCAUGUAGAAAAAGUUUGGUGUGUAUAGUGUAAUUCUGCUCUGCGGAGUAUGCAUUAAUUCACAGCAAUAUUUUUCCAAAAAUCCACAUUUAAACCAAAAUAGCCGACUUCCUGUUGGUCAUAGCUGAUGACUGUAUGUUAGAAAGUUGUCCGUCUUGAUAAGAACAAUAUAUGUACCAUGUUUGGUGUCUGUAGCUAAAACUUACCCCCCCCCCCACUUUUGACAAAAGGUGGCACUAUAGAGUGCCUCCUCCACGCACUUUAAUGCGCUUUUGCCAUUGUCUAUCUGUCAUUAAUACUGAUAUGUUUUUUGAGUUUCAUGUAAUUCUGAGCAUGUUAUCUGCUUCAAAAUUACCAAAUUACCAAAAUUGCACUAAUUUCAACGCCUCACCAUGGGCAAACCGUUCGAGAUAUCAAAAAUCCCCUGGCAAUUUUGCAUCCCCAGUGUCUUGAGAUCAUAUUCACCGAGUUUUGAGUCAAACGGUUGAAAGUCCUCAGAGGACUAUAUCAAAUUCCAGAGCAUGCUUUUUUUUAAACAGCCCUGAGCAGUGUGUGCCAAUUUUCAAGAGUUUUUGAGUAUGUUAAAGCCCCCAAAAACCCCCGGAAGGAUUAGGGAAAAAUAAAAAAAUAUAUAGCUGCA
ensembl:lncRNA